UACGUAGGCAGCGAGCGUUGUUCGGAAUUACUGGGCGUAAAGAGUGUGUAGGCGGUGUUCCAAGUCUGGUGUGAAAUCUCCCGGCUUAACUGGGAGGGUGCGCCGGAAACUGGAAUGCUCGAGGGUGGGAGAGGUAAGCGGAAUUCCUGGUGUAGCGGUGGAAUGCGUAGAUAUCAGGAGGAACACCUGUGGUGUAGACAGCUUACUGGACCACUUCUGACGCUGAGACACGAAAGCGUGGGUAGCAAACAGG
rnacentral:rRNA from 1 species